rnacentral:rRNA from 1 species
GCCAUGCCGCGUGGGUGAAGAAGGCCUAUCGGGUUGUAAAGCCCUUUUGUUGGGAAAGAAAAGCAGUCGGUUAAUACCCGAUUGUUCUGACGGUACCCAAAGAAUAAGCACCGGCUAACUUCGUGCCAGCAGCCGCGGUAAUACGAAGGGUGCAAGCGUUACUCGGAAUUACUGGGCGUAAAGCGUGCGUAGGUGGUUGUUUAAGUCCGUUGUGAAAGCCCUGGGCUCAACCUGGGAAUUGCAGUGGAUACUGGGCAACUAGAGUGUGGUAGAGGAUGGCGGAAUUCCCGGUGUAGCAGUGAAAUGCGUAGAGAUCGGGAGGAACAUCUGUGGCGAAGGCGGCCAUCUGGACCAACACUGACACUGAGGCACGAAAGCGUGGGGAGCAAACAGGAUUAGAUACCCUGGUAGUCCACGCCCUAAACGAUGCGAACUGGAUGUUGGGUGCAACUUGGCACGCAGUAUCGAAGCUAACGCGUUAAGUUCGCCGCCUGGGGAGUACGGUCGCAAGACUGAAACUCAAAGGAAUUGACGGGGGCCCGCACAAGCGGUGGAGUAUGUGGUUUAAUUCGAUGCAACGCGAAGAACCUUACCUGGUCUUGACAUCCACGGAACUUUCCAGAGA